rnacentral:rRNA from 1 species
UUAAAGGAAUUGACGGAAGGGCACCACCAGGAGUGGAGCCUGCGGCUUAAUUUGACUCAACACGGGAAAGCUCACCAGGCCCGGACACCAGAAGGAUUGACAGAUUAAGAGCUCUUUCUCGAUUUGGUGGGUGGUGGUGCAUGGCCGUUCUUAGUUGGUGGAGUGAUUUGUCUGGUUAAUUCCGGUAACGAACGAGACUCUGGCCUACUAACUAGUCGACGGGCGUUUUGGUGCAUGGGCCCCGUUCGAUAGAUUCUUCUUAGAGGGAUGAGCAGCGAGUAUAGCUGCAGGAGAUUGAGCAAUAACAGGUCUGUGAUGCCCUUAGAUGUCCUGGGCCGCACGCGCGCUACACUGAAUGGGUUAGCGGGUUGUCCUUCUCCGAGAGGAGCGGGAAAUCGCGUGAAAACCAUUCGUGAUAGGGAUUGGGGCUUGCAAUUGUUUCCCAUGAACGAGGAAUUCCCAGUAAGCGCAAGUCAUCAGCUUGCGUUGAUUAAGUCCCUGCCCUUUGUACACACCGCCCGUCGCUACUACCGAUUGAAUGAUUUAGUGAGGCUUUCGGACUGGCGGUCUUGGACUGGGUUGCCGGCUACGUCCCAGCAAUGGGAUUGUCGGUGACCCGCCUCGACGAGCCGGAAAGAUAUCCAAACUUGAUUAUUUAGAGGAAGUAAAAGUCGUAACAAGGUUUCC